CGGCGCGCGCUCCCGAAAGGUCCCCGGGGAAGGGGGAUCAACGAGACGCACCGGCCUCCGAGAGUCCUAGAGAGGAAACGGAAGGGGCCCCUCCUUAACGCACCUGUCUGACCGCGUCCGUCGCCCACUUCCGGCUCGCGGCGGGCUGGGGCAAGCUUACCUCAGGUGUGGGGCUGUGAGGGGCGGCGCGUUUGAGUGGCGGGGCCGAGGUGGCUGGGACCCGGGUUCCGUGCUGUGGGGCUGCUGCGGGCGUCGGCGGUUGCGGCGAGGCUGACGCUGAGGGCGGCGCGUCUCCCCGGAGCUGCCUCCCGCAGCACCGAGGCCUUGCCGGUCGGGAUCCCGGGGGAGCCGCACGGCGCUUGGCUCAGAUUGAGCACACUGUCACAUUCUAGCCACCAACAAGGCUAUUGGUUUUACCUGCAAAAUGCCUUGACUGACUGCUGCUUUGCCACCGCCCUGAUCUAAGUCUCUGUUUCCUGCUUGGACUAGGACACAGUCUUCUGGGAAGGGGUGCGAAGAUGCUUAUAGAGCGUCCAGGGAUGGCAGAAGAGCCUCAGCAGCAAAUGGGUGGCCCUGUGGUAAAACUGGAGAAAGAGCUGCCGUGGGGCAGGACGAGGGAGGACCCCAGCCCGGAGACUUUUCGCCUGCGGUUUCGGCAGUUCCGCUAUCAGGAGGCGGCCGGGCCCCAGGAAGCCCUCAGGGAGCUCCAGGAGCUCUGUCGCCAGUGGCUGCGGCCCGAGCUGCACACCAAGGAGCAGAUCCUGGAGCUGCUGGUGCUGGAGCAGUUCCUGACCAUCCUGCCACGGGAAUUUUACGCCUGGAUUUGGGAGCAUGGCCCCGAGAGCGGCAAGGCCCUGGUGGCCAUGGUGGAGGACUUCACACAGAGAGCCCUGGAGGCCAAGGCGGUUCCGUGCCACGUGCAGGGACAGCGGGAGGAGACAGCACUUUGCAGAGACCCCUGGGAACCAAGUGUGCACCUGGGGCCCGUGGAGGUCAAGCCUGAGUGGGGGAUGCCCCACGGGGAAGGCGUCCAAGGCCUUGACCGAGGCGCUGAGGAGCAGCUCAGCCAGGACCCUGGAGAGGGGACGCAGGCCUUCCAGGAGCAGGCUCUGCCAGUCCUUCAGGCUGGUGCUGGCCUCCCUGCAGUGAGCACCAGAGACCAGGAGGUGGCAGCUAGCUUCCUGACGGCUGGAUCCCAGGGGUUGGGCCCAUUUAAAGACAUGGCCCUGGCUUUCCCUGAGGAGGAGUGGAGGCAUGUAACCCCAGCCCAGAUAGACUGCUUUGGGGAGUAUGUGGAACCCCAGGACUGCGGGGUCUCACCUCCAGGCCUGGGGAGCAAGGACAAGGAGGCAAAGACCCAGCUGGCAGACCCCAAGGGGCAGCUUGCUUGUGGGCCGGCAGAGCGGUGUGGGGAGCCCGCUCUCCAGGGCCCGGAGCUGGGAAGACCAUGCGAACAGGAGGCCAGGAGCUCGCUGGGAAACGCGCCUGGGCCGCUCCCGCCCCAGCACAGCGUCACCCCGCUGCCCGAUGACCUCCAGACCCACAGCUCCUUCUGGAAGCCUUUCCAGUGCCCCGAGUGUGGGAAGGGCUUCAGUCGGAGCUCCAACCUGGUCCGACACCAGCGGACGCACGAGGAGGAGAAGUCGUACAGCUGCGGGGAGUGCGGCAAGGGCUUUGCGCUGCGCGAGUACCUGCUGAAGCACCAGCGGACGCACCUGGGCCGGCGGCCGCACGUGUGCGGUGAGUGCUGGAAGACCUUCAGCCAGCGCCACCACCUCGCGGUCCACCAGCGCAGCCACACAGGCGAGAAGCCCUUCCAGUGCGCAGACUGCUGGAGGAGCUUCAGCCGCCGGCAGCACCUGCAGGUGCACCGCCGGACACACACCGGCGAGAAGCCGUACACCUGCGAGUGUGGCAAGCGCUUCAGCAGGAACGCCAACCUGGCGGUGCACCGGCGGACCCACACCGGCGAGAAGCCCUAUGGCUGCCAGGUGUGCGGGAAGCGCUUCAGCAAGGGGGAGCGGCUGGUCCGGCACCAGAGGAUCCACACUGGGGAGAAGCCGUACUGCUGCCCGGCUUGCGGCCGCAGCUUCAACCAGCGCUCCAUCCUCAACCGGCACCAGAAGACGCAGCACCGCCAGGAGCCCCCGGGGCAAUGAGGGCGCCUGGCCCAGAUGCCCCUCUUUGGCUCACGGAGAAGUCAGGACCUUCCGGGACCUCGUGGGAGGAAGUACCCACUGUACUCCCUGAAGGGCUGCGGGUGUCAGGAGUGUUGGGUGUGGAGAGCCGCUUUGACCCCUUUUCUUUCCCCUUGUUUCAGACGCUGGGUGAGGGAGAGGCCUGCUUUAGUUGAGAUGCCACAUCUCUCACCCAACUGGUGCUAGCACUUCUUAACCUUCUUUCCAGGAAGUGAUGGCCCAAGUUUCAGUUCAGGUCGAGGUUUUUCUCCGUCCAUGGAUGUUCACGUCCACCUCCUGAGCAAAUCUGGUCUUCGUGGUGAAAUCUUCUCACCUGUCAGCAGCUUGAACCUCAUUUUCCAGAGGGCUGUGUCCCUGCAAGAUCAUUAGCUUAGACUCUGAUUCCCUCUCUCCCCCCAGUUCUCUUUCAUUUAACAAAUAUUUAUUGAACACCUACCGUGUGUCUGGCACUGGGAGUCCAGUGACCAGACAGCUGAGACCUCAGUGCCCCAGAGUGUGGGAUCAGGCUCUGGAAGCAGACUUGUUAAUAAAGCAGAGCACCCUGAGUUACAUUCCUGGUGAGUACUGAGUGAGAGGAAGUUUUCCGCUCCAUCUGCCCAGUUCCUGAUCUUUCCCUCCCCAGCUGGGUCGCUUAGGCAUCCACCUUUAUUUUACUGUCUCUGUGGCCCCUUCCUCUCUGUGACCUACUGUCAUUAGUAGUUUCUCCCAUUCCAUUGUUCCUUGAACAAAAACAGCUGUCCACACAUCUGUUAGGAAAUUAAUAUUUUGCUUUUGGUCACUGUCUAAACAGUAUUUUUUUAAAAAAAUCCAGUUCGGAAUGAAGUUCUAAUUAAAUGAGUCCGAAAGAUGAACUGGUAUUAAUACUCUACGUUUGAUGGCACUUUACAGCAUAUAAAAUGCACUUCCCUGUUUUCUCAGUUGACUCAUUCCACAAAUAUUUAUUGAGGCCUGACAGUGUGCCAGGGACUCUUCUGGGUGCUUGAGGUAGGUUAGUAAAUAAAAUGGGGGGAGUCCCUGUCCUUGGGGAGCUUACGUGUUAGUGAAUGUAUUUGAUCUUCAGAAUCACCUGAGGUGGAACCUGUGGAUACUCCCAGAUACCCUCUGGACCUGGGCAUCUGGGCCUGUGCCUCCAUCCUGUCAGCUCUGGCCCUGCAGUGCAUUCGCCACCACCUACCUGUUGUUUCUGAAUCAUCUCUGUCCUCGGUGCAUCUUGGUCCUUGUCAUCUGAGAGGUGCUUGGGAUCCUCAGGCCACCUGGAGAUGAUGAGACGGGUUUCCUUUUACUUGGACUUUCUGGAAACUGCCUAACUAGCCUGGACCGUGCUGCAGUACCUUCGGACGCCACUGCCGAGUAACCGUGGUGUUUACAUUUGAUUCAGCAGAAGACCUCCUGGCCCUUCAGUUGUCCCCGUGAGGCUGUGAGUACUGUGAGACGUCCAUUUUCUGAGAUGCUGGACUGCUAUUUCUCAGCACCGUUGAGUCCAGAUGCAGAGUCAGCUCUCUUCUGCCCCACGCCUCAGACAAGCCAGGCAAGGCUCAUAGCCACCUGGAGUCCAAACCCAAUGACAGGCUUCCCUCAGCCUCUGGCUUCUAGUCUGUAGGACAUAAGGGCUGACCUGACCCGAGUUUGGUCUUUUCUAAGAGGUGUGUAGGGGGCCUGGGGCCAGCAUGGGGUUGCAGUUGCUCAUCAGUGGCCUUCUGUUUACCUGAAUUAAAUGGCAGAUUCUCUGAGCAUACACUGGGUUUUCAGCCAGUUGGGCUCUCAGAAGGGAGCUUCUGUAAGAGUCAGAACUUGCUGUCUUCCCGCGUGGGCUCCCUUGUUUGCUUUGAGACCAAAGCUUACUGACAGUUCCUCCAAAGAGUCCCCAAAGGAAGAUUUUCCCAUAGAGUUGUAUUAACCUUAUUUUUGAUAGCUAUUCAAAUGCCAAAUACUGUUUUCUGUAUUUUUCUUAGGAAUUUUUUUAGAAUAGAGAAGUUCAAACAUAUAAAUGAAUCCUCAUGUAUUCAUCAUUUAGCUUUAACCAUUUGUUUCUGCAUAGCCAAUCUUGUUACAUUUCUGCCCCAUCCUCCUCUUCAUCUUCCUCCCCAGCUGAAGUAUUUUGAAGCAAAUCUCAAAUGUUGUUUAUAGAUAUUUCACUGUAUACUGCUAAAUGUUAAGGAUUCUUUAAAAAGAAAAAUAACCACAUUGCUAUUAUCAUAUCUAAAAAAUUAAAUAGUUCCUUAAUUUCCAAUUAACGCACUUAAAAAAGAAACCACAUGAUUGUUAAAAAGCGCUUUUAAGAUCAAAGUAAGAUCCAUAAAUUGUAAUUUGUUGCUUGUCUUCUAAGUCUGAUAUAUCUUUUCCCCCUUGAUAUGUUUUUCUUUUUUAUUUGGCUAUGCUGCAUGGCUUGUGCGAUCUUAAUUCCUCAACCAGAGAUUGAACCCAUGCCCCCUACAGUGGAAGCACAGAGCCCUCACCACUGGACCACCAGGGAAGUCCCUUCCCCUUAAAAUUUAUUUGUUAAAACAACUGGAUUAUUUGUCCUGUGGACUUUCUCACAUUCUGAAUUUUAUUGCUUGCACACUCAUGGCAUAGUUAAAUAUAGUUCUCUGCCAUCUGAUUAACUGAAAACUUCAGGUGUAGAGGGCUAGUCGGGUUCAUGUUUCACAUUCUGGCAAGAACAUACUACAGAUGGUGGCUUGUCAGGUUGUUUGUCAUUAUAUAAUGUUAAGAGCCUAAAUGUGAAGUCAAGUGGGUCUUAGGAAGCAUCACUAUGAAAAAAACUAGUGGAGGUGAUAGAAUUCCAGUUGAGCUAUUUCAAAUCCUGAAAGAUGAUGCUGUGAAAGUGCUGCACUCAAUAU